rnacentral:rRNA from 1 species
UAAACGAUGAUCACUCGCUGUUGGCGAUACACAGUCAGCGGCUUAGGGAAACCUUUAAGUGAUCCACCUGGGGAGUACGGUCGCAAGAUUGAAACUCAAAGGAAUUGACGGGGGCCGCACAAGCGGAGGAGCAUGUGGUUUAAUUCGAUGAUACGCGAGGAACCUUACCUGGGCUUAAAUGUAAGACGACAGUCCCCGAAAGGGGAUUUUCUUCGGGACGUCCUACAAGGUGCUGCAUGGUUGUCGUCAGCUCGUGCCGUGAGGUGUCGGGUUAAGUCCCAUAACGAGCGCAACCCCUAUCCUUAGUUGCCAUCAGAUAAUGCUGGGGACUCUAAGGAAACUGCCUACGCAAGUAGUGAGGAAGGUGGGGAUGACGUCAAAUCAGCACGGCCCUUAUGUCCAGGGCUACACACGUGCUACAAUGGCCGGUACAGAGGGCAGCUACCUGGUGACAGGAUGCUAAUCUCGAAAACCGGUCUCAGUUCGGAUCGAAGUCUGCAACUCGCUUCGUGAAGUCGGAUUCGCUAGUAAUCGCACAUCAGCCAUGGCGCGGUGAAUACGUUCCCGGGCCUUGUACACACCGCCCGUCAAGCCAUGGAAGCUGGGGGUACCUAAA